GGGGAAGCCAUAGUUAGGGUUUUCAAGCUUCCAAGCUCCAUAAUCAAGAAGUACGAAACUCGAGGUUAGACAAAGGGAAGAAUAAAGUUGAAGGCUAAGUUGGUGAAUUUGGCUAUAAUUGGUACCGAGUAUUGCAAAGCUACUUCAAGGAUCCUAAAGAAGUCGGAGAUCGUCCACACUAUCAACUAUAACUGCUCGGUAUUUUAUAUCGAAACACGUUUGAGUUAUGGCAUGUAUAG